rnacentral:rRNA from 1 species
CAAUAGCGUAUAUUAAAGUUGUUGCGGUUAAAAGCUCGUAGUUGGAUUUCUGCUGAGAACGUGCGGACCGCCCCUCGGGUGAGAAUCUGCAUCGGCCUUGGCAUCUUCUUGGGUGAUGCUGCGCGCUUAAUUGCGUGGGUGUACUCCAGGACUUUUACUUUGAGGAAAUUAGAGUGUUUCAAGCAGGCGUCCGCCUUGAAUACAUUAGCAUGGAAUAAUAAGAUAGGACUUCGGCCCUGUUUUGUUGGUCUUCUGAGAGUCGGAGUAAUGAUUAACAGGGACAGUUGGGGGCAUUCGUAUUUAACUGUCAGAGGUGAAAUUCUUGGAUUUGUUAAAGACGAACUACUGCGAAAGCAUUUGCCAAGGAUGUUUUCAUUGAUCAAGAACGAAAGUUAGGGGAUCGAAGAUGAUCAGAUACCAU